rnacentral:lncRNA from 10 species
UCUAAAUCCCAUUUCUAUUCUAUUAUUAUUACUACUACAAAAAUAGUAAUAAAAACAAACAUUUAAAUAAUAUCUAAUAAAUACCAACUAUUCUUCUAAGAACUUGACAUGUAUAAACUCAUUUAAGCUUCAACUCUGUGAAAUAGGGUAUCAGUUAUGUAUUGCCAAAAUAACGCUAUAUAGCAAACUACCCCAAAACAUAAAACUGUAAAAACAUAAUUACAACAAUAGACCUUUUUAUCCUUUCUCACAAGCCACUGUUUUUGCUGAUCUGGGCCAAGUUCAAAAGACAUUGACUUGGCCCACUCACCUGUGGACAGUCAGCUGCCUUGUUGGAUGGGUGCUGGGAGUAUAAGAUGGCCUCAGUUAGGACUGCUUGGCUGUUCUCUAGAAGUUCUCUCAUUUUCACAAUGCUAGCCUGGACUUAUUUCCAUUGCCAUAGGAGGGUUCUAACAGAGAGAAAGAGAGCGGAAGCAGGCAAUGCUUCUUAAAGCCUAGGUUUGGAAUGCACACUGUUACUUCCCACGUAUGGUAUUGGACAGAGCAAGUGAAAACACCUAGUGCCAAGAGUAUGCAUCCAGGAAGGGGUAAAGAACAGGACUAGUUUUGCCAUUUAUUAAGGUAUUAUUAUUAAUCCUUAUUUUAGAAGAAACUGAUAUAUAGAGGAGUUAAGCAACUUGCUCAAGGUCGUGGACUAAUGAAACAAUGGCACUAGUAUUUAAAUACUGUCAGUCUGGUUUCAUUCUGUGCUGUUAACUUCUACAUGGUGCUGUCAACUUCUACAUGGUGCUGUCUCUCAGCUGAAGGAACGAUAGAGGAGGAAAGGCAAAAGGCAACAAUGGGCUUUGAAGUAACUCUACUGAGAUAAUUAAAAGACCACAUAAAAGAAGGAAAACGUAUCUUACUUCAGGAAUUCAACACUAAGAAUCCUACUCCCUUCGUGAAAUCAGAAAAGGUUUGCAUGAACCCUGUGGGCCUUUGAAAGAGAGAAGGCAUACUGUUGAUGGUCACCAACUUACUGAAGCCUGCAGCUUGCAGGAACCCAUCUCAUCAGAGUAACUGAAAGAGAACACAGUAUCCAAAAACAAAAACAACAAAAGUCACGUGCUGGGAUAAGUUCUUGAUAGUGUGAAUAGUCAGAAAAAAAUGUUCUGAAACUUCUUGUCCCAGCUGCGUUAUUAACUGUGAAUUUCAUCAUAUGGUUGAUUAAGUUGCUUUAUAAGACUAAAUUUUUAUAAGAUGUGUACAUAGGAAUAUGACUUCCCUCUCCUAAGUUAACAUAACAGGUAUUCCCAAAUGUGUUGUGAAGUCGACAUUCUUGUUCUAAUUUAUAGUUGUAUUGCUCCCUGCAAUAGCAUCUUCUUUCAUUUCCCAGUCUCCAGUUUUUCCAUUUUGUUUACAGUAGCCAGAGAAAUCUAUCAAGAUGCACACUUGAUCACAGCAUCCUUCGGUAAAUCACCAUUAUCUUCAUACUGACAAAGGUCAGUCUUUAAGGACCUUUAUCAGGUGUCCUCUCUUUAGUUCCCCAACCUAUUUCUUACCAUCCUUUAUCCCCCAGCUAAAUAACUUGGAGAAUUCCAAGUGCGUCAUCCACUGUAUUAGUCUGUUCUCACAUCGCUAACAAAGACAUACCUGAGACUGGGGAAUUUAUAAAGGAAAGAGGUUUAAUGGACUCACAGUUCCGCAGGGCUAGGGAGGCUUCACAAUCAUGGCAGAAGACAAAGCAAGAGCAAAGGGAAGUCUUACAUGGCAGCAGGCAAGAGAGCUUGUGCAGGGGGAACUCCUGUUUAUAAAACCAUCAGAUCUUGGGAGAUGUGUUCAAUACGAUGAGAACAGUGUGGGGGAAACCACCCCCAUGAUGCCAUUAUCUCCACUUGUCUCUGUCCUUGACACAUGGGAAUUAUUAUAAUUCUAGGUGAGAUUUGGGUGGGGACACAGAGCCAAACAAUAUCAUCCACCUUCAUGUCUCUUUCUCUUUACUCACCUGCUUUCUUGACAAGAAAUAUCUUCAUCAGCCCUUCCUUCCUUCCCUCCCUCCCUCCUUUCUUUCUUUCUUGCUUGCUUGCUUUUCCUUCCUUUUUCUUCUUUAUUUCCUUUGCCAAUUUGAGAGAUUGGCAAGGAGAGUAAUGCUGGAAUUGGAGACACAUAUAACUAAUACCAGCCAAAAUAAUUGUGAGCAGAAGUGAUAUGCCUUCUGAGCCAAGGCAGAGAAAAGAUUAUAUGUGAUUCUCAGACCUCUUCUCAUCCUCAUUGGCUAAGAAGGGCAUAGGUCCCAGAUGGAACAGCUAUACGUUAAUGGGGCCUUCCUCCAUUUGGAUCCCUAAGUAACUGAAAUGGAGCCCCUCUCCAACCUGUGAUAAAAUUGUGCUACAAAGGAGAACUCAAUUUUCUUGUGCUAAAAUACUGAGAUUUGGAAAUUAAUGUGUGCUGCAUUAUAACCUAGGUUAUUAUAAAGAUAUUAUUGAAAAUUACUUUUAAUAUUCAUUUUUGUCAUUAUUGGUGAAUUUGAAGUUUCAUAUAAUUAUUGAACACUUAUAUGUCAUUUAUAUAUUUAUUAUACUUAGUUCUUUGGCAAAAUGCUGUUUAUGUCCUUUGCCUAUUUUUCUACUAGACUGUUUAUGUUGAUUUAUAAAACAUAUUUAUAUAUUAGGCUACAGUAACCCUUUCAUGUCAUUGGUACUGUUUCCAAUUUAUUAACUGCCUUUUAUUAUCACUUUAUGAUGUAUUUUAUGUCCAAAGGUUUAAAAAUUAUAUACUGAGUAAUCGAUAAUUAUUUAAAAAUUUUGUUCUUAUUUUAUGAGAAAGGCCUUCUAAAAUCUGAUAGGUUGGUUUUUCUCUGGAUAUACUAUUUUCUAUUUUUUAAAACAUGAAAUUCUAUACUCCAUUAUGAUUUAUGUUGUUGCAUGCUAUCUGGUCGGAAUAUAGCUUUGUAAUGAAUACAUUCGUCUUAAAACUGACUUGGCUUUUUCUCCUAAAUUAAAAAGACAACUCUGA